rnacentral:hammerhead_ribozyme from 1 species
AUCCAACUGAUCAUUUCCAAAUAGGACGAAAUGCGCGUCGUGGAU